UACGAGGGGGGCAAGCGUUGUUCGGAAUUAUUGGGCGUAAAGGGCGCGUAGGCGGUGCGGCAAGUCACCUGUGAAAACUCUGGGCUCAACUCAGAGCCUGCAGGCGAAACUGCCGUGCUUGAGUGUGGGAGAGGUGCGUGGAAUUCCCGGUGUAGCGGUGAAAUGCGUAGAGAUGUGGAGGAACACCGAUGGCGAAGGCAGCCUUCUGGGCCAACAUUGACGCUCAUGCACGAAAGCGUGGGGAGCAAACAGG
rnacentral:rRNA from 1 species